UCGGCGAAGGUUGGGACUCGACUGGUGU
rnacentral:piRNA from 1 species